UUCACCCUGUUUUUUCAAAAACAUUUCUUUAUUUGGAAUAAUAUAAAGUCUGCUCUGCUCAAUGCGAAAGUAAAUGGCUGCAGUAUUUCUGACUGUACAAAGGUAGCAUAAUAAUUAGUCUUUUAAUUGAAGACUGGAAUGAAAGAGUAAACCAAGAAAGAAAUCUUUCUUAUUUAGAGAGUGAAGUUUACUUUUUAGUAAAAAGGCUAAAAUAAUACUUAAAGACGAGAAGACCCUAUAAAACUUUUAUAUUAAAUACUUUUUAGUAAGAGCUUUAAUAUUUUGCUGGGGUGGCAGGGGAAAUUGACUUCUCUUAAAGAAAACUAAGAUUUAGGCUUUAAAUAACCAAAAAUUUUGAAAAAGGAAUAAGUUACUUUAGGGAUAACAGCUUAAUUUGUUUUGAAAGUUCUAAUUGACAAGCAAGUUUAGGACCUCGAUGUUGAAUUAAAAGCCCUUUAUUUGUGCAAAAGCUUUAAAAGGAGGUCUGUUCGACCUUUAAAUUUUUCCAUGAUCUGAGUUCAAACCGGUGAA
rnacentral:rRNA from 1 species